rnacentral:rRNA from 1 species
GAACUGAAACAUCUAAGUACCCCGAGGAAAAGAAAUCAACCGAGAUUCCCCCAGUAGCGGCGAGCGAACGGGGAGGAGCCCAGAGCCUGAAUCAGUGUGUGUGUUAGUGGAAGCGUCUGGAAAGGCGCGCGAUACAGGGUGACAGCCCCGUACACAAAAAUGCACAUAUUGUGAGCUCGAUGAGUAGGGCGGGACACGUGGUAUCCUGUCUGAAUAUGGGGGGACCAUCCUCCAAGGCUAAAUACUCCUGACUGA